CAUAUAAUGGUAUAAUGAUGUCACAAGCAAGUUGGGUAGAUGGUGGCUAAUCCAAUCUAAGGAGGUUGAUGCCUAUGAAGGUAUUUAAACAAUCUUUAGAAAGGAGGAUAGCCUUUGUUUUCUAUUGUAAUUGCAAUGCAACUCAAUAUAAGCAUGAGUAUAU
rnacentral:sRNA from 1 species